rnacentral:rRNA from 1 species
GCGCAGCAGUCGCGAAUCUUCCCCAAUGGACGAAAGUCUGAGGGAGCGACGCCGCGUGAAUGAAGAAGCCCUUCGGGGUGUAAAAUUCUUUUCUUUAGGAAAAAUUCGUGAUGGUACUAAAGGAAUAAGGGGCCGCCAAACUCGUGCCAGCAGCGGCGGUAAUACGAGUGCCCCGAGCGUUAUCCGGAAUUACUGGGCGUAAAGCGCUAAAAGGCGGUUUGAUAAGUCAGACGUCAAAU